UCAUUUAAGACCGCAGAAGAGAGGUGAACGCCGCCUCUUCCUUUCCCUUUUUCUCUGCCAUUUCAAACCCCAGGCCUUUGCCCAUUCGACUCCAACUCGUGCAGAAGAGAAGAAGGCUUCAUCGGCGCACCCACGAAGGUAAGUAUUUUUUGCGUCGCUCUGUGCAACGAUUGUUCAAAAAGGAUCUCCAAACCUUCACUCCAACUCCGAUUGCGACGGAGAGAGCAAAGAUCUGGCCACAAGGUACUUUCCUCCCCUUUUCCUUUUAUUGUGUUUCUACUCAAAUAAAGAACUCAACAAUCAUAGAAACAAAACCAAAAGAAAAAAAAGAAACCCAGAUGUGAAGCAAAAUUUCAAUCACCUUUCAAUAUUUUUUUCAAUAUUUUUCUUUGUACUGAUAUUGUGUGUAGAGGAAAAAGAACCCCUUUUACAGAUUCAAAAACGACUUUAUAUAGCCGGAUCCAGAAAAAAAUAAAUCCAAAUACAUUUUUUUUUCUCUGCCCUUUCUGUAAUUUUUUUCUCCUUUUUGCCUGCUGCUUUGUUCGUUUGUUUGUCCUUUGCAGGUGUCGUAUGAAUGCUAGCUGGGACGUGGCACGUACGGAUGUGCGCGGGCGCGCGCGUACGGAGGCUUGCGUGAGUGCAAAGUGGCUCGGCACGCACAGAGGAUGGCUUUGGUGGCUGCGGCGCUCGUGCUAGGGCUGAAUGCCUAGGGUUUCUGGCAUUUUCUUCAAAUCGGGCCAUCGUGUAUUGGGCCUGGGGUUUUGGGUAUUUUAGGCUGAAUUAGGUUUGGGUUAAUCUGUAUUGGGCCUAGAGUUUGUAAAUGGACAUUUAAAAUGGACUAUUUAUUAUUAUAUUUUUUAUAUUUUUGUUUAUUUAUUUCUGAUUUGG
rnacentral:lncRNA from 1 species